UGAGGAACAUGACCUUCGGCGGGGGAUAGCCGGCCCAACGGCCGGGUAAUACCGCGUACGACCACAUGGGGACAUCCCCGAUUGGUGAAAGCAGCAAUGCGCCGAAAGAGUGCCUCGCGGCCUAUCAGCUAGUUGGUGGGGUAAUGGCUCACCAAGGCGACGACGGGUAGCUGGUCUGAGAGGAUGGCCAGCCACAUUGGGACUGAGACACGGCCCAGACUCCUACGGGAGCAG
rnacentral:rRNA from 1 species